GAUGAACGCUGGCGGCGUGCUUAACACAUGCAAGUCGAACGGUGAAGGCGGAGCUUGCUCUGCUGGAUCAGUGGCGAACGGGUGAGUAACACGUGAGCAAUCUGCCCCUGACUCUGGGAUAAGCGCUGGAAACGGCGUCUAAUACUGGAUACGAGCUGCGAAGGCAUCUUCAGCAGCUGGAAAGAAUUUCGGUCAGGGAUGAGCUCGCGGCCUAUCAGCUUGUUGGUGAGGUAAUGGCUCACCAAGGCGUCGACGGGUAGCCGGCCUGAGAGGGUGACCGGCCACACUGGGACUGAGACACGGCCCAGACUCCUACGGGAGGCAGCAGUGGGGAAUAUUGCACAAUGGGCGAAAGCCUGAUGCGGCAACGCCGCGUGAGGGACGACGGCCUUCGGGUUGUAAACCUCUUUUAGCAGGGAAGAAGCGAAAGUGACGGUACCUGCAGAAAAAGCGCCGGCUAACUACGUG
rnacentral:rRNA from 1 species